rnacentral:rRNA from 1 species
CAGUUCGGAUCGCAGGCUGCAACCCGCCCUGCGUGAAGCCGGAAUUGCUAGUAAUCGCGGAUCAGCAUGCCGCGGUGAAUACGUUCCCGGGCCUUGUACACACCGCCCGUCACACCAUGAGAGCCGGGGGGACCCGAAGUCCGUAGCCUAACCGCAAGGAGGGCGCGGCCGAAGGUAAAACUGGUGAUUGGGGUGAAGUCGUAACAAGGUAGC